AUCCGUCCGUCUUGGCCUCCCAAAGUGCUGGGAUUACAGGUUUGAGCCACUGCGCCCGGCCUAUGAUAUGUUUUCUCACGUGACGCUGUGAGAAGGGCACAAUAUCACCCACAUAAUAACAUGACAAAAAGUGUUUAACGUAAAUCUAAUCACGAUGAAACAAUUAGGCAAAUUCAGAAUAUAGGGCAUUCUACGAACAGUUAACUUGGACUCUUCAAAAAAUUCAAGUCAUCAAAAAAAGUGAUUGGUUCAGAGUGAUUAAAAGAGGCUAAAGUUAUCUAACAAUGAAAUGCGAUAUAUGAAUCUUCAUUGAACCCUGGAUUUUUUAAAGUCAUUUUCUUUACAAUUAAGAAAACUAUGGUAGACUGAAUUACUGUUAAUUAUCUUAGGUGUGAGUAUAGUAUUAUGGUUACAUAGAAAAAUGUCCUCAUUCUUAAGACAGGCAGACUGAUAUAUUUCUCUUUCUUUGGCAUACUGAUAUAUUUUCAUAUGAAGUGUCAUGAUGUCUGCAACUUUCUUCUAAAUGUAUUGGGGGAAAAAAGUGAGAGAGGAAGAGAGUGUGUAGUUAGAAAAAGGGAAAGAUAAAGUAAAUGAGUCCAACAGAUAGAAUUUUCCAUGGAAUACCAAAUGGUUAUAUUCUUAGUGCUUUUAUUUCACUAAACAUCUAUUAAAAUGAGAUAGAGAUAUACAGAAGUACAUCUGUAUUACACCAAAACAUCCAGUUUUAAAUGGACAAAUAAGCACUAGUGAGGUUAAAGAAUUUGUCCUACUUGGGAAGGCAUUGUACAGAUACAGCUGGGGGAGGGAGGUGUUGGUAUUAUAUACUGUUGACACUCCAGAUAUUACACAUUAUUGGCAGUAAUGCUUACAAAAUACUUUUAAAAUAUCAGAAAAUUCAAGAAUAAGAGAAAAGCAAAGGAAAAAUCCUGUGAUUGUGAGUAAAAUAACUUGCAAAGACUGCAAUUAAGUUUACAGGACCAGCAUUCUAGCAACCAAGACUCCUCUAUUAACUAGCACUCUUGCCAUUUUUCAGUACAUACUGAUGAGACUUCUAAAGCAUCAAAGUUGAAUAUGUUCAGUUUCACUUUAACAUAGGAUAAGCUUUAUAAUAUUUGAAUCCUUUGAAACUUGUUAACCCAUGUUUGAUAUAUAUGAUAGCUCUCUAUUAUUUGGUAUAUUUGAUUAACCAGAGCUGUCCAUUGCUUAACAAUGGAGGAAAAUAGGAUGAAGCUGGGGUGUGAGAAAUGGAGCAAAACAUAAGAUUUCAUGAUUUUUAAAAAAAGCAAUCAUCACAUAGGAACUAUUACUUUCCAUAAUGAGAGCAAUAAAAAAAUUCUAAGUGUAAUAUUCACAACAUGUAUUUUUAUUCUUUGUUGUUUUUCAGUGUUUAAUUGAACAAAUCAGUAGGGACACAGAGGAGAUUCCGGAUUAACGAGGACAUCUGAGGAAGGAGGAAAACAACUGUGGACUUUGACAAUCACAACACCAUGCAGCUGAUUCUAUUAUCCCCAUAUUAACGAUGUGAAAACUGAAAAACAGAAGAGUACACGGAAGCUGCAGGAGGUUCAGUAAUCUACCCAGUCACCCUGCAAACAGUAAGACUCAGUUCAAAUGCAGAUGUUCUUUGUUGGACUAUACUCUGCCUUCCACAUUCUAUGUAUAUACGAUUCCUUAUUUUUUAAAGAAAACAAAUCCCCUACCAGACAACUUUUGGUUGCCAAAGGCAUGUGUUCCUAUAUUGAUUUGGAAUUAACAACACAAUUUCCCUGGAAACAUUCUUUCCUGUAAUUAAUGAGAUCUAUAACAUGAGAGAACAAAUUAGGAUGAAAUGAGGAUUUUGUAAUGUGGGAAAUUAUAGAAAGGCCCUCAAAAGCCAUGUGGUUUAAAUCUCUAAGUUCAACAGGCCUGGAAGCCAGUAAUAAUUAAUGGUAUGUAUGCAAAUCUAAAAAUGGCUUGUGCCAGUCAGAGAUUAGUUGAGGAUAUGACAUGACUGAAGCUUCAUAUCAUACAAAUAAUAAAAACUGCCUAGUCUUU